rnacentral:misc_RNA from 1 species
CCGAGUUUACAACUCCCAAACCCAAUGUGAACGUUACCAAACUGUUGCCUCGGCGGGAUCUUCUGCCCCGGGUGCGUCGCAGCCCCGGACCAAGGCGCCCGCCGGAGGGCCAACUCCAAAACUCUUUUGUAUACCCCCUCGCGGGUUUUUUAUAUCUGAGCCAUCUCGGCGCCUCUCGUAGGCGUUUCGAAAAUGAAUCA